GCAGUGAUGGUGAUUACUUAAGUUAGAUGGUACUAUAAAAGGGUGUGAGGAAUUUUGUUGUUGCCUCUGAAAACGAUAAAAGUUAUACGAUAAGAGGGAGUAACAAGAAGGGCCUUUGGUUAAUUGUGUUAGAGUUCACUUUCAAAAGAUAUGUGAUAUUUUUGGUAUUUAUAUAUUGCAAUGUCUGGUUAGUUGGUCCUGUCCGCACGUUUUUCUUAUCGGUAUUGUUUUGCGUGCAGUGUAGUUCUCCUACAAUUUAGCCCGAAGUUUCGCAGUAUAUACGGAUGGUGUUUAAAGAUUUUUUUUUAUAUUUUUAAGGAAGUAUAUUCAUUUAAUGUAAUACAUGCAACAGUAUAUUGUAAGCAGAUUAUUUUUAAAUUAGAUAAUAUACACGAUAUCUGAGUGGUAUUACACAUUUACAAGACCGUGGUGCUAAUUUCCAUUAUCAGAUCUGUACUUUCAGCGGAAGUAAAACCAAACUGUCUGAUAUAACCUCAGGUGAAAGUGGGAUUGAGACCAUAUUUGAUAAGUCAGUGAAACCAACAGAAGGAGAAGAAGAAUGUUGUUUCUAUGUAUGUUAUAUUAUCUGUACGUUGUAGAGGUUACGGGACGCGCUGACUGCCCAGAACAUGUAUUUAAGAGAAUACCUCUCAAUACCAGUAUAACAAGCACUCUGCAUACGUUGUACACAGAUUUAACAGUUAAGGAAUGUGGGCAAAAGUGUAUAGGGACGACCUCGUGUGCAUCAUUUUCCUAUCUUCCGAGACAAGCAUCGCAGUGUUAUUUAUUUCCUCAUCGUGUUCGGUUGGGAUUGGACCAAACAGUUCAACCUGGUCUGGUGAUAUACUGGCUUCUACGGGAAACGUGUCCAUCAGAUUAUACAUAUAAUGCAACGCAUAACAUUUGUUAUAAGACGUACUUUGAUUCAACAGACUUAAUGCCAUGGACAGGGGCAAUGAAUCGAUGUGAACAAGAUGGCGGAUAUUUGUAUAUGGCUAACACAAUGGAUAAAUUCAAUUUAAUCAAAAACCUUCCCGCUUCGUUUCGUAUGGAGGCAAAUAUUGGUUGUACCAGACAUAGAGAUGUAAAUAUAACUUGGAAAUAUUUGGAUGGAUCUGAUUUUGUAGGGGAGUGGUAUCCCGGAGAACCUAGCAGCAAUACGGAAGACUGUGUUGCGAUAAUUUAUGGUAAUCCUGUAGGAGCUUUAGAUAUUAAUUGCUUGGGAUUAAGAAAAUUUAUCUGCGAGAUCCCGAUCCGUUCUCCGUAAAUUACGUAAUAUGACUAUCACAGUCUGAUUAAUAAACAGAUCUAUAUUUGUGACAAAGUGAUCUAUACCUUUCUUCAAAUUGAACGAUCAUUUAGGUGCAUAGAACUUCAUGACCUCUGCUAGUUUUGAUAAUAUAUGAUAUUGACGUUUCACCUCUGUGUAAACUUCUGUUAAGGCACGGACUAAUUAAUUCAAUAUGUCCUUUACAUGCUACACAUGCUAUGUGUAUAACACUCGGCAUACCUUCACGAAUUCAAAGGAAAUACGCAGUGCAGUUACAGAUACCAUAGUCUGAUAUAUGAUUACUUUUUUCAUAUAUGAUGGGCACAGAGAGACUGAGAGGCCGCCGUAUGGACUCACUCGAGUUCAGCCACUGUCGUGGCAGAGGGGCAGAAUGGUGGAUUUAACAUAGUUAUAUGUUUUCCUGUCGUAGACUAGUUCUUAUAUAGUUUAAGUACCUGUAUUGCUGUUGUAAUUAUGUAGAUGUGUGAUAUUCUGUUCCCGUUGUAAAUAAUGCUGUAUUUACUAAACUGAUCUCUGUUAUCACUAAAAUAGUGUUACAGUAUCUGUUUUUGGUGCAUCAACCGGCGAUUUCCGUAGGAAAUCAAUACCCACAGUAUCUGAUUUUGGUGCAUCGACCGGCGAUUUUCGUAGGAAAUCAGUACCCACAGUAUCUGUUAUGAUGCAUCGACCGGCGGUUUCCAUAUGAAAUUAGUACCUGUGUUCCUGUGAUAACGAAGAAAGUCCCGCGUGGCAGACAAAGGAGUUUUCACCAUUAAACAUCCGAUGAGCUGGAGAAAAUACAAAACAAAAUGCAGGACUGAAACGUUUAUCUGUGCAACCGUGGGUGGCAGACGCAGUUUCAAUAGAAAAUAGUGUUUCAUAUGGACAUGAAGAAGGACCCGGCAAUCACCAACAACUGCAAAAGAGACAGAGAGACCGGCGUAUUGACUCGCCGGAGUUCAGCCGCUGCCUUGGCAGAGGGGCAGAAUGGUGGAUUUAACAUAGUUAUAUGUUUUCCUGUCGUAGACUAGUUCUUAUAUAGUUUACGUACCUGUAUUGCUGUUGCUAUUAUUUAGAUGU